AGUGGCUGGUGAGCCUCAGUCAACAGCCCCCUCCAGCCUCGCAGCCACCGCACAGGCCUGCUUUGCACUUGGAUUGUCCCGACCGUGUUCCUGGAACUUGGGGGUAGCAAAAGAGAUAUGCAAACAAACCGGAAUGGAAUGGCACUCGCUCAACCUCUGGGGAAAUCCGCACUCCAUAAAUGACCAAGAUGGGCCAUCUAGCGCCACCUGCCAGGUGAUCGC
rnacentral:lncRNA from 1 species